rnacentral:tRNA from 1 species
GCACCAUUAGCUCAGUUGGUAGAGCACCUGACUCUUAAUCACGUUGUCCACGGUUCGAGCCCGUGAUGGUGUACCA